GUAGGUGAACCUGCGGAAGGAUCAUUAUCAUAACGUAUCCACGUAUAAACUAACUUUAAUUGAUGUGAAACGUAACUGUUUAACACCUUCGAUAGUUAAUUGAUUGCUAUACUCUACUUUGUGUUUGAUUAAAGCAUAUUGAGUAUGGACUUGGCUUCACUUUCGGGUGAAGACUAGCAUUAACUGUUGGAGUGUAAUUAACCAAUUUAAUCAUUUAUUUACCCAUUGAACCGAUUAACUAUUAUUAAUA
rnacentral:misc_RNA from 1 species